AUUGAACGCUGGCGGCAUGCCUUACACAUGCAAGUCGAACGGCAGCACGGGAGCAAUCCUGGUGGCGAGUGGCGAACGGGUGAGUAAUAUAUCGGAACGUGCCCAGUCGUGGGGGAUAACGUAGCGAAAGCUACGCUAAUACCGCAUACGAUCUAUGGAUGAAAGCGGGGGAUCGCAAGACCUCGCGCGAUUGGAGCGGCCGAUAUCAGAUUAGGUAGUUGGUGAGGUAAAGGCUCACCAAGCCGACGAUCUGUAGCUGGUCUGAGAGGACGACCAGCCACACUGGGACUGAGACACGG
rnacentral:rRNA from 1 species